CCAUGCUCCCUACUACUCCCAGUCCCUAUACAGCUACACACAGAUCUCGGACCCUAACUACAGAAAUAUAAAAUCAGCACAGUAAUUAGGCACAAAUGAUAAAAGAAUCACAGUUUAAAUUUACAAUGACAAUCAUGUUCAACUCCUAUUGCUCAUGCAUCCAGACAUCGUGAGAAGAUACCAUGAUUUUCUUGGUCUUCG